AGUGUGAACUAGGCUCUCUUCUGGAUCUGGGAGCAGUCACCAUCCUGACCAUGCUGCACUGAGGAUUCCUGCUGUGUUCACUAACUGGAAUGCCCAUAUCAGUCCAUUCACUAUGUCAGGCUGGUCUUGCUGAAGCCAGUGGCUACCUUCUGACAAAAUGGCAUCUCCUUCCCACACUGCGAUCUGAGUGUUUCAUAUACGCUCUCCUUUCCUGCCUGCUCCCUCUGUCACAUCUGUGUUUCUAACAGUGGACUAUAUCAGUGCCCAAGACUUCACGCCACAUUUGGGAGGUGACUAACCCCAGAAAAGGAAAGGACUGGGAACAAGAGAAGAAUGCUGCAGACAUCAAGGAUAUGGGAACAUAGACAAGAAAGGAAGAGAGAAAAGCAAAAUCCCUGCAAGUAUGAGAGAAAGACAGUACAAGUCAAAGCUGAGCAUGGACUCUGUCUCUGGCCUUUAGAUGCGAGCGUCUGGCGUGUCAUUUCCCUUGAUUCCACCACCUUACUAAGAAAACAAGGCCCAAGGGCUGAGGUUGCAGAGCAGUGGCAGAGCAUUUGCCUUUCAAGCAUGAGACCCGAGCUUCAGAACCCAGCACUGCAGUCCUUUCCCCUAAAUGAGGUCCAAGUAAGUCACAUAAGUCAUGAAGGUCAUGGGAGUCAUGAGCGGGCUAAGGAUGUAGCUCAGUGGCAGAGCACUCGCCUGGCAUGACCAAUGUGUCCCCUGGCGUCACUAAAUAAACAGAUGUUAAGAGGAAUGAAGUAUACAGGUGACUAGAGUCACCACUAUUUCUUCGUUCUGCUUUUGAGGGGAAAAGAGAGUAAUUCUGAGGAAUCCAGGAAGAGUCAUAAGCUGUGUUUCAUCCUUAAGUUGGACAGAAUUAACAAAUGUGACUUGGCUGUUAUCUUUUAAAAAUUAUUUUAGUGGUGGUGAGUCUUGAAAGAAUAAAAUGCCAGGGCCACCAGAUUGGAUUUAAU
rnacentral:lncRNA from 1 species